GACGAACCGUGCGAACGUUGUUCGGAAUCACUGGGCUUAAAGGGCGCGUAGGCGGGCGGCCGCGUCCGGGGUGAAAUCCUCCCGCCCAACGGGAGAACGGCCUCGGAUACGGGCGGCCUCGAGGGGGGUAGGGGCAGGCGGAACUGUGGGUGGAGCGGUGAAAUGCGUAGAUAUCGUAAGGAAGACCAGUGGCGAAGGCGGGUCUCUGGACAGUUCCUGACGCUGAGGCACGAAGGUCAGGGGAGCAAACGGG
rnacentral:rRNA from 1 species